AGCAGCAGCAGCAGCAACAUCAACAAGGACUUGCAGAGGUCAGAAAAUGUGAAUUGCCUUACAAAAAAGAAGAAGAACAUAGGAAAAGCUGGAGAAGGGAAAGGGAGAGGUGGGUAGAGAAAGGGUCCUUCAAUAGAAUCGAAGGACCCAAAGGGAGACAGGAUUCAGCCAAAGAAGAAAAAAUUUGUUGAAAGAAGCCAUAAUUUUUUGGGAGGGCAGAGAAAAUGAGAGAUUUUUCCUUAGACCUCUCGGAGAAAAAGAAGGAGAAUUGGUUGGACGCUUUGAG
rnacentral:misc_RNA from 1 species